AUACGUAGGUGGCGAGCGUUAUCCGGAUUUACUGGGUGUAAAGGGCGCGUAGGCGGGUUGGCAAGUCAGAUGUGAAAUACCGGGGCUCAACCCCGGGGCUGCAUUUGAAACUGUCAGUCUUGAGUGAUGGAGAGGCAAGCGGAAUUCCUAGUGUAGCGGUGAAAUGCGUAGAUAUUAGGAGGAACACCAGUGGCGAAGGCGGGUAACUGGACUGCAACUGACGCUGAGGCGCGAAAGUGUGGGGAGCAAACAGGAUUAGAUACCCUGGUAGUCCACACUGUAAACGAUGAAUGCUAGGUGUAAGAGGUAUCGACCCCUUUUGUGCCGGAGUCAACACAAUAAGCAUUCCGCCUGGGGAGUACGGCCGCAAGGUUGAAACUCAAAGGAAUUGACGGGG
rnacentral:rRNA from 1 species